rnacentral:rRNA from 1 species
UUCUGGCUCAGGAUGAACGCUGGCGGCGUGCUUAACACAUGCAAGUCGAACGAAGAUAUUUAGAAUGAGAGCUUCGGCAGGAUUUUAUUAUUCUUAGUGGCGGACGGGUGAGUAACGCGUGGGCAACCUGCCCUUUACUGGGGGAAUAAUCAUUGGAAACGAUGACUAAUACCGCAUGUCACCGAGGACUGGCAUCUUUCCUCGGAAAAAGGAGCAAUCCGGUAAAGGAUGGGCCCGCGUCUGAUUAGCUUGUUGGUGGGGUAACGGCCUACCAAGGCGACGAUCAGUAGCCGACCUGAGAGGGUGAUCGGCCACAUUGGGACUGAGACACGGCCCAAACUCCUACGGGAGGCAGCAGUGGGGAAUAUUGCACAAUGGGGGAAAAACCCCCUGAUGCAGCAACGCCGCGUGAAGGAAGAAGGUUUUCGGAUCGUAAACUUCUAUCAACAGGGACGAAGAAAGUGACGGUACCUGAAUAAGAAGCCCCGGCUAACUACGUGCCAGCCGCGGC